AGAGUUUGAUCCUGGCUCAGGACGAACGCUGGCGGUGCGCCUUAUGCAUGCAAGUCGAGCGAAGCUUUUCAGUAGUUUACUACAGAAAAUGACUGAGCGGCGAACGGGUGAGUAACGCGUGAGCAAUCUACCUUAGUUACAGGGAUAGCCCGAGGAAACUCGGAUUAAUACCUGAUAUUCUUUAUUUCUCGCAUGAGAAUAAAAGGAAAGGUCAGCCGAACUAAGAUGAGCUCGCGUUCUAUCAGCUAGUUGGUGAGGUAAAAGCUCACCAAGGCUACGACGGAUAGCUGGUCUGAGAGGACGAUCAGCCACACUGGGACUGAGACACGGCCCAGACUCCUACGGGAGGCUGCAGCAGGGAAUAUUGCGCAAUGAGCGAAAGCUUGACGCAGCGACACCGCGUGUGGGAUGACGGAUCUAGGUUUGUAAACCACUUUCAGGAGGGAAGAAAAUGACGGUACCUCCACAAGAAGCCCCGGCCAACUACGUGCCAGCAGCCGCGGUAAUACGUAGGGUGCGAGCGUUGUCCGGAAUUAUUGGGCGUAAAGAGCUCGUAGGUGGUUUGUCGCGUCGUCUGUGAAAUUCCGGGGCUUAACUCCGGGCGUGCAGGCGAUACGGGCAUAACUUGAGUACUGUAGGGGAGACUGGAAUUCCUGGUGUAGCGGUGAAAUGCGCAGAUAUCAGGAGGAACACCGGUGGCGAAGGCGGGUCUCUGGGCCGAUACUGACGCUGAGGAGCGAAAGCGUGGGGAGCGAACAGGAUUAGAAACCCUAGUAGUCCACUGU
rnacentral:rRNA from 1 species